AGGGGUCCUGCUGAGGCAACUCCAGCAAUAGGAGGUGAUUUGUCUAAUUGCUUUCAUCCUAGCCCAGGAUUCUGGAGUGCUCAGGUGAUCUGUGUGAUAAAGCAGUUUGGUGAGAACUUCCAGAAAUCUACCAAAUAUUAGAACUUAUGGAAGAUUAGCCCUGAGGUAACAUCUGCUGACAAUCCUCCUCUUUUUGCUGAGGAAGACUGGCCCUGAGCUCACAUCCUUGCCCAUCUCCCUCCACUUUAUGUGUGGGACUCCUGCCACAGCAUGUCUUGCCAAGCGGUGCCAUAUGGGCACCAGGGAUCCAAACCAGUGAACCCCGGGCCACCAAAGCAGAACGUGUGAACUUAACGGCUGGGCCACCAGGCUGGCCCCUAUUUUCACUUUUUAAAAUUUAUUUU
rnacentral:lncRNA from 1 species